rnacentral:rRNA from 1 species
ACGAACGCUCGCGGCGUGCUUAACACAUGCAAGUCGAACGGAAAGGCCCUGCUUUUGUGGGGUGCUCGAGUGGCGAACGGGUGAGUAACACGUGAGUAACCUGCCCUUGACUUUGGGAUAACUUCAGGAAACUGGGGCUAAUACCGGAUAGGAGCUCCUGCUGCAUGGUGGGGGUUGGAAAGUUUCGGCGGUUGGGGAUGGACUCGCGGCUUAUCAGCUUGUUGGUGGGGUAGUGGCUUACCAAGGCUUUGACGGGUAGCCGGCCUGAGAGGGUGACCGGCCACAUUGGGACUGAGAUACGGCCCAGACUCCUACGGGAGGCAGCAGUGGGGAAUAUUGCACAAUGGGCGGAAGCCUGAUGCAGCAACGCCGCGUGCGGGAUGACGGCCUUCGGGUUGUAAACCGCUUUCGCCUGUGACGAAGCGUGAGUGACGGUAAUGGGUAAAGAAGCACCGGCUAACUACGUG